rnacentral:misc_RNA from 1 species
AUUGACGAGCACGACUUUCAAACGAAGCUUCGCAAUGUAUCGAAAUUUCUCAACGACGGCGAUAAAGUAAAGUUGUCGGUUCGUUUCCGCGGCCGGGAGAUCGCACAUGCCGAAAUCGGGCAGCGCGUUCUGGAGCGGAUGGCCGCCGAGGUGGAGGAUCUGUGCGUUGUGGAGCGCAGGCCGAAGCUGGAAGGCCGGAGUAUGAUCAUGAUCUUGUCGCCGAAGCAACAGCAAUAAUUUUACUCUUUAAGGAGGAACACCCCAUGCCAAAAAUGAAAACACACAGCAGCCUGAAAGGCCGUUUUAAAAUUACAGGUACCGGUAA